GGGGUAACGGCCCUACCAAAGCGACGAUCAGUAGCCGGCCUGAGAGGGUGGACGGCCACAUUGGGACUGAGACACGGCCCAAACUCCUACGGGAGGCAGCAG
rnacentral:rRNA from 1 species